UACGAAGGGGGCUAGCGUUGCUCGGAAUUACUGGGCGUAAAGCGCACGUAGGCGGCUUUCUAAGUCGGGGGUGAAAUCCUGGAGCUCAACUCCAGAACUGCCUUCGAUACUGGAAAGCUCGAGUCCGGGAGAGGUGAGUGGAACUGCGAGUGUAGAGGUGAAAUUCGUAGAUAUUCGCAAGAACACCAGUGGCGAAGGCGGCUCACUGGCCCGAUACUGACGCUGAGGCACGAAAGCGUGGGGAGCAAACGGG
rnacentral:rRNA from 1 species